UUAUGUUGAUUUCCAGGUUUCAUCUUCAAGGCUCGCACAAAAUGUCUAUUUGUUGAUGACUGUUGAUACAUGACUAAACCAAAACAUGGAAAAGCCAACAGGAAGCUCUAUGAAAAUGCUCCUCUUGAAAAAGCUGCUGAAGAGAUGUCUGCCAAGUCUGGCUGCACCAGAAGAGCAUGACAGCAGAAGGAUGAGAUCCACCCCUAAAGUACAAAGCUUCAGAUUAAGAAGAUGGACUUACUAUGUUUUUAAAGAAAACUUACCCAUGUAUUCGAGAGAUCCAUAUCUGUGUAAGAAGACUUAAGACGCAGUUGGUGACCACAGGAGCAACAGCCACCCCAGUGGCCUCCUUGGGUAAUUGGAAAAUCAACACCUGUCCAGGGAGGGUUUUCUGGAAACGGUUUCCAGGUCUUCCACAGUGGAACUCCAGCUUUGUAAGGAGACACUGUGUCUUCCAGGAUGUGCCCAUUUGAAGUGCUGGUUCUAUCCCCGGGUGCAGAAGGAGACUCCAGUCCAGCAUCCAGUUCUUCCCAUUUCCUUGCAUACAUGUCAACAUCUUUCUUCUCUUGGGAUUUGGUUAAUUUCACACAGGAUAGCAUUGUGUCAUCACCACCUGAUGAAUGAUGAAAGAACAUGAGUUAAAACUCAAGACUAAUGAUUCAUUACAUGUAGAAAGUGUAUGUACUGUGCUUUCUGUUUAAUAGACGUGGAUGAACAGCAUGGGAUAAGACAGGAGAUUGUUAAAUUUCACAAAGCAAUUUAUAAUCAUCUGAUUUGUUAAAAAAAUAAGUACUUUUGGUGUGCAAAGUUGUUUUAUAAAAGUCACAUUUUCCUCAAACUUUUUGAAAUGGUAUCUGUUGAUUAACAUUAAUAAGAUUUAAAUGAAUAGUCCUAUAUGCAAAGGGCAUAUUGAAAGACACUUGAGGAAAAACUACAAAUUAAAAAACAUAUUCACAUCCUAUAAGCAUAACUUGGAGUGUUUCUAUUCAUAAAUAUUUUAAAAUUUGAAGCCAUAUGUAUAAAAAAAUCAUCAUAAAGAAAUAAAUCAAAUCAUUUGCCUCACUUAAAGAACUGAAAUCCCUGUAGAUGGUACUAAAAUAAUAUUUGCAUUUAGAUUUUUCUAUUUUAAUAUUUUUCUUCAUCGAUAUUUUGCAUGAUAUAUAUCUCACUGAAAUAUUUUGCAAUAUCAAGAAAAAAUAUGGAAGAAAGCAGAAAAAGGUAGCACAUCUUCAGUAUUAUAAAGUGCAUUAGUAAGGUUUCUAUGUGAAAAGGUGGCAAUGAGUUUGAUGAAAUAGUCCUUGUCCUCAGGGGAUUGUUCCCAAGACCUUGUUGAUCCAACUGUGGAUAGUAUGCAAGCUUAUAGAUUAUAAUUGAUUAAGUUUAAUUUAUGAAGUAGACACAGAGACUAACAAUAUUAAUGCAAUAUGCAGUUAAAAUAAUAUGCUGCAUUAAAAGUUACAUGAAUGUUCUCU